CUUUAUUGGAGAGUUUGAUCCUGGCUCAGGAUGAACGCUGGCGGCGUGCCUAAUACAUGCAAGUCGAGCGAAUGGAUUAAGAGCUUGCUCUUAUGAAGUUAGCGGCGGACGGGUGAGUAACACGUGGGUAACCUGCCCAUAAGACUGGGAUAACUCCGGGAAACCGGGGCUAAUACCGGAUAACAUUUUGAACCACAUGGUUC
rnacentral:rRNA from 2 species